rnacentral:rRNA from 1 species
GACGAACGCUGGCGGCGUGCCUAAUACAUGCCAGUAGAACGCUGAAGGAGGAGCUUGCUUCUCUGGAUGAGUUGCGAACGGGUGAGUAACGCGUAGGUAACCUGCCUGGUAGCGGGGGAUAACUAUUGGAAACGAUAGCUAAUACCGCAUAAGAGUAGAUGUUGCAUGACAUUUGCUUAAAAGGUGCAAUUGCAUCACUACCAGAUGGACCUGCGUUGUAUUAGCUAGUUGGUGGGGUAACGGCUUACCAAGGCGACGAUACAUAGCCGACCUGAGAGGGUGGUCGGCCACACUGGGACUGAGACACGGCCCAGACUCCUACGGGAGGCAGCAGUAGGGAAUCUUCGGCAAUGGACGGAAGUCUGACCGAGCAACGCCGCGUGAGUGAAGAAGGUUUUCGGAUCGUAAAGCUCUGUUGUAAGAGAAGAACGAGUGUGAGAGUGGAAAGUUCACACUGUGACGGUAUCUUACCAGAAAGGGACGGCUAACUACGUG